GAGGAACGCUGGCGGCGUGCUUAACACAUGCAAGUCGAACGGAAAGGCCCUGCUUUUGUGGGGUGCUCGAGUGGCGAACGGGUGAGUAACACGUGAGUAACCUGCCCUUGACUUUGGGAUAACUUCAGGAAACUGGGGCUAAUACCGGAUAGGAGCUCCUGCUGCAUGGUGGGGGUUGGAAAGUUUCGGCGGUUGGGGAUGGACUCGCGGCUUAUCAGCUAGUUGGUGGGGUAGUGGCUUACCAAGGCUUUGACGGGUAGCCGGCCUGAGAGGGUGACCGGCCACAUUGGGACUGAGAUACGGCCCAGACUCCUACGGGAGGCAGCAGUGGGGAAUAUUGCACAAUGGGCGGAAGCCUGAUGCAGCAACGCCGCGUGCGGGAUGACGGCCUUCGGGUUGUAAACCGCUUUCGCCUGUGACGAAGCGUGAGUGACGGUAAUGGGUAAAGAAGCACCGGCUAACUACGUG
rnacentral:rRNA from 1 species